AACGAACGCUGGCGGCAUGCCUAACACAUGCAAGUCGAACGAGACCUUCGGGUCUAGUGGCGCACGGGUGCGUAACGCGUGGGAACCUGCCCUUAGGUUCGGAAUAACUCCCCGAAAGGGGUGCUAAUACCGGAUAAUGUCUUCGGACCAAAGAUUUAUCGCCUUUGGAUGGGCCCGCGUUGGAUUAGCUAGUUGGUAGGGUAAAAGCCUACCAAGGCGACGAUCCAUAGCUGGUCUGAGAGGAUGAUCAGCCACACUGGGACUGAGACACGGCCCAGACUCCUACGGGAGGCAGCAGUGGGGAAUAUUGGACAAUGAGCGAAAGCCUGAUCCGGCAAUGCCGCGUGAGUGAUGAAGGCCUUAGGGUUGUAAAGCUCUUUUACCCGGGAUGAUAAUGACAGUACCGGGAGAAUAAGCUCCGGCUAACUCCGUG
rnacentral:rRNA from 1 species